UACGUAGGGGGCAAGCGUUGUCCGGAAUCAUUGGGCGUAAAGAGCGUGUAGGCGGCUCGAUAAGUCUGCUGUGAAAGUCCAGGGCUCAACCCUGGAAGGCCGGUGGAAACUGUCGGGCUAGAGUCCGGAAGAGGCGUGUGGAAUUCCCGGUGUAGCGGUGAAAUGCGCAGAUAUCGGGAGGAACACCAAUGGCGAAGGCAGCUCGCUGGGACGGUACUGACGCUGAGACGCGAAAGCGUGGGGAGCGAACAGG
rnacentral:rRNA from 1 species